UCGACGGCAUCAGCCGCUUUUCGAAGCCGCAGAGCCAGUCGGCAAUCGUUUGGCGGCAGCUCAGGCAGAAUCGUGCGGCGAUGAUCGGCGCGGCACUGGUGAUUUUCGAGAUCAUCCUGGCGCUGGGGGCGCCGUGGAUCGCGCCGUACGAUCCGCUCGACCAGAACCCGCGGGAGGCGCUACAGGCCCCCUCGCGCGAGCAUCUCUUCGGCACUGACGAUACCGGGCGCGACCUGCUGAGCCGGGUGAUCUACGGCACGCAGAUCUCGUUGCGCGUGGGGUUGAUCUCGGUGGGGAUCGGCGGCGGCAUCGGGAUCGUGCUGGGGAUUAUUG
rnacentral:misc_RNA from 1 species